rnacentral:sRNA from 1 species
CAGAUUGGCUUCUUGCUAGGAAGCUGUGGUAUUGCCUUAGCUCUUACCAGUGAAGUUUGUCUAAAAGGACUGCCAAAAACCCAGAAUGGAGAAAUAGUACAGUUUAAAGGUUGGCCCCGGCUCAAAUGGGUUGUAACAGAUUCCAAGUACCUUUCAAAGCCACCGAAAGACUGGCAGCCACACAUCUCACCUGCUGGGACAGAACCGGCAUACAUUGAGGUAAGUCCUAAGAUGUAAAAUAUGCUUUCAGGCUUUUCCUUGGGCUUUGCUUACCACCUUUCAAAAUAUAAAACUGAAUUUUUGCAACGUUAAUGUUAGAAGAUCCUCCUGCUUUGUGAGAUUUCCAUCUUUUGGCUUGUAAAAUGCCUUGUAGUGGAUCUUCUAUCCUAAUUAUUUUGAUCAUAAGUAUACAUUCAAGAGAAUGACAGC